rnacentral:sRNA from 1 species
UGUACGCGACUGGAUGUUGGCGACCCGC